rnacentral:rRNA from 1 species
UACGUAGGAGGCGAGCGUUUGUCCGGAAUCACUGGGGCGUAAAGCGCGUGUAGGCGGGAAGGCAAGUCUGCUGUGAAAGCGCCUGGCUUAACCGGGCGAGGUCGGCGGAAACUGCUUACCUGGAGGACGGUAGAGGGGGUGGAAUUCCGGUGUAGUGGUGAAAUGCGUAGAUAUUGGGAAGAACACCAGUGGCGAAGGCGGCUAACUGGUCCAGAUCUGACGCUGAGGUGCGAAAGCGGUGGGGAGCAAACAGG